rnacentral:rRNA from 2 species
UACAGGGGGGGCAAGCGUUGUUCGGAAUUACUGGGCGUAAAGGGCCAGUAGGCGGCCAACUAAGUCACACGUGAAAUCCCCAGGCUUAACCUGGGAACUGCGUGUGAUACUGGAUGGCUUGAAUUCGGGAGAGGGAUGCAGAAUUCCAGGUGUAGCGGUGAAAUGCGUAGAUAUCUGGAGGAAUACCGGUGGCGAAGGCGGCAUCCUGGACCGACAUUGACGCUGAACGGCGAAAGCUAGGGGAGCAAACGGG